CAAUAGCGUAUAUUUAAGUUGUUGCAGUUAAAAAGCUCGUAGUUGGAUUUCUGGUGGGAGCGAUCGGUCUGGCGCUUAGCGCGAGUACUUGCAUCGUCUCCGGCCAUCCUUGGGGAGAGUCUGUCUGGCAUUAAGUUGUCGGGCAGAGGAUCCUCAUCGUUUACUGUGAAAAAAUUAGAGUGUUCAAAGCAGGCUUAUGCCGUUGAAUAUAUUAGCAUGGAAUAAUAAGAUAGGACUUUGGUACUAUUUUGUUGGUUUGCGCACCAAAGUAAUGAUUAAUAGGGACAGUUGGGGGUAUUCGUGUUCCGUUGUCAGAGGUGAAAUUCUUGGAUUUACGGAAGACGAACUACUGCGAAAGCAUUUACCAAGGAUGUUUUCAUUAA
rnacentral:rRNA from 1 species